UAACCUACCCAUCAGAGGGGGAUAACACUUGGAAACAGGUGCUAAUACCGCAUAACAGUUUAUGCCGCAUGGCAUAAGAGUGAAAGGCGCUUUCGGGUGUCGCUGAUGGAUGGACCCGCGGUGCAUUAGCUAGUUGGUGAGGUAACGGCUCACCAAGGCCACGAUGCAUAGCCGACCUGAGAGGGUGAUCGGCCACACUGGAACUGAGACACGGCCAG
rnacentral:rRNA from 1 species